rnacentral:rRNA from 1 species
UAUUUAUUAGAUAAAAAACCAACKCCCUUCGGGGCUCCUUGGUGAAUCAUAAUAACUUAACRAAUCGCAUGGCCUUGCGCCGGCRAUGGUUCAUUCAAAUUUCUGCCCUAUCAACUUUCRAUGGUAGGAUAGUGGCCGACCAUGGUGGCAACGGGUAACGGGGAAUUAGGGUUCGAUUCCGGARAGGGAGCCUGARAAACGGCUACCACAUCCAAGGAAGGCAGCAGGCGCGCAAAUUACCCAAUCCCGAUACGGGGAGGUAGUGACAAUAAAUACUGAUACGGGGCUCUUUUGGGUCUCGUAAUUGGAAUGAGAACAAUUUAAAUCCCCUAACGAGGAACAAUUGGAGGGCAAGUCUGGUGCCAGCAGCCGCGGUAAUUCCAGCUCCAAUAGCGUAUAUUAAAGUUGUUGCAGUUAAAAAGCUCGUAGUUGAACCUUGGGUCUGGCUGGCCGGUCCGCCUCACCGCGAGUACUGGUCCGGCUGGACCUUUCCUUCUGGGGAACCUCAUGGCCUUCACUGGCUGUGGGGGGAACCAGGACUUUUACUGUGAAAAAAUUAGAGUGUUCCAAGCWUGC